rnacentral:rRNA from 1 species
CUCACGUGCGAUGGGGCUAUCUCGAGUGCUACCUGAUGAAGGUGGCUUUUCCUAGGUCUUCAAAGCCUUGGGAAUAAGAGGGGGGCAAGACUGGUGUCAGCCGCCGCGGUAACACCAGCCCCUCGAGUGGUGGGGAUGAUUAUUUGGCCUAAAGCGUCCGUAGCCGGCCGAGCAAGUUUUCCGUUAAAUCCAGCGUCUCAAGCGUUGGACCGCGGGAAAUACUACACGGCUAGAGAGUGGGAGAGGUCAGCGGUAUUCUGGGGGUAAGGGCGAAAUCUUUUGAUCCCCGGAGGACCACCAGUGGCGAAGGCUGCUGACUAGAACACGUCUGACGGUCAGGGACGAAAGCUGGGGUAGCGAACCGGAUUAGAUACCCGGGUAGUCCCAGCCGUAAACGAUGCAUGCUAGGUGUUGGGUUGGCCACGAGCCACCCCAGUGCCGCAGGAAAGCCGUUAAGCAUGCCGCCUGGGAAGUACGAUCGCAAGGUUGAAACUUAAAG